rnacentral:rRNA from 7 species
CAACUUUCAACAACGGAUCUCUUGGCUCUCGCAUCGAUGAAGAACGCAGCGAAAUGCGAUAAGUAAUGUGAAUUGCAGAAUUCAGUGAAUCAUCGAAUCUUUGAACGCACCUUGCGCCCUUUGGUAUUCCGAAGGGCAUGCCUGUUUGAGUGUCAUUA